GGUCAGACCACCUCCAUCGGGUGGCAGCAGAGAGCUGAGACACAAGGAAGCCCAGCAGUCCUCCUGAAGGGAGUCGCUGAGCUCUGACAGGCUGACAUAUUGGAGCUGCACCGAGUCACCGUCGUACUGGAGAGAUACACAGUUUCCACGACAACAGGCACGUGCACUGUGGCGACGUACUGGGGAGCAAGCUGAGACGGAGUCAUGAGUUAUCAUGUGGAUGCUAAUCCAACCCACCGCCCUCCUUCCCCUUUUACCUGUGUCGAAGCUGUGAGCAAAGGUGGCACGUCCACAGGUACUGGGACACAUCCGGGUUCCUCUCUACCAGUAACCUCUGCAACACGCCGUCGUCAGGGCAAUUGCGGUCCGAGUCCGAGGCUAGAACGGCGCUAAACUUUGUCACCGUCACAGUGGAGCGCAGGCAAGUGCAAAGCAUGCUGGGCGGGAAGUCCGGACACGGCUGGUACAGGAAGUGAAUGUGAUGGAGCUGGAUUGGGACGGUAACAUGGAUCCUUUUUGUUUAAUUAUCACGCUAAAAUCAAUGCAUCAAGCAAGCACUUUUUAAAUAAGAUUUUUAAUUUCUCAAUUUUUCUAUAAGGCACUGUGAAAAAUGGCAGAUAUCUUGAAUCAUGAACAAAUAAAUUGGAUUCUAAAGCAGUAUUGGGCAGGUAACGGAAGGAAGCCAGAAAAAUAGAUUGAAGGAAGAAAUGAAAGAAAAAAGAAAACAAGUCUGAGGUAAAAGAAAGGUGGCAAGGAAGGAAGGGAGGAAGAAAGGAAGGAAUGAGGAAAAAAGCAGAAAAGUAUGUUAAACGAUGGGCAGAAAGAUGGAAGGGUGCAUGAAUAACAAGUGGGUCUAGGCGUCGGAAGGCCGGAGAGAAAAAGGUCAGAAGGAAACGUCUGAAGUCAAGAAAAGGCUAAGAACAAAAGGAAGGAAGGGAAAAAAAUAGUGUGAGCAAACAAAAGAUGGAAGUGGGCAGCAUGAAUAAAAAACAAGUGUGACGGAGGGAAGAAGAGUAGAGAAGUAGGUUCAAGCGGAGGAAGGAAGGAUGUAGGCAUGCAUGGAUACCAAGCAGGUCAAAGAGGAAGGAAGCAAUGCAAAAAAACGUAGGAGAAGGAAGCAUGCAAAAUGCUGGUGAUCCUGAUGGAUGGAAGGAAGGAAGGAAGGAAGGAAGGAAGGAAGGAAGGAAGGAAGGAAGGAAGGAAGGAAGGAAGGAAGGAAGGAAGGAAGGAAGGAAAGGUUCCAAAGAUAAAGGAAGGAAGGAAGGAAGGAAGGAAAGGUUCCAAAGAUAAAGGAAGGAAUGCAAAAAAACGUAGGCGAAGGAAGCAUGCAAAA